UACGUAGGGUGCAAGCGUUGUCCGGAAUUAUUGGGCGUAAAGAGCUCGUAGGCGGUUUGUCGCGUCUGCUGUGAAAACCCGCGGCUCAACUGCGGGCCUGCAGCCGAUACGGGCAGGCUAGAGUUCGGUAGGGGAGACUGGAAUUCCUGGUGUAGCGGUGAGAUGCGCAGAUAUCAGGAGGAACACCGGUGGCGAAGGCGGGUCUCUGGGCCGAUACUGACGCUGAGGAGCGAAAGCGUGGGGAGCGAACAGG
rnacentral:rRNA from 1 species